GACGAACGCUGGCGGCGUGCUUAACACAUGCAAGUCGAACGAAGUGGCGAACGGGUGAGUAACGCGUAAUCAACCUGCCCUUCAACGGGGGACAACAGGUGGAAACGACUGCUAAUACCGCAUACUGAAGGAGGGGAUUGCGUGUGAUUCCCUAGUUGGGGGGGUAACGGCCCACCAAGGCGAUGAUCAGUAGCCGGGCUGAGGGGAGGAACGGCCCAAAUGGGAAUGAGACACGGCCCAGACUCCUACGGGAGGCAGCAGGGGGGAAUCUUCCGCAAUGGACGGAAGUCUGACGGAGCAACGCCGCGUGAGGGAUGACGGCCUUCGGGUUGUAAAGCUCUGUUAAUCGGGACGCGGUACCGGAAUAGAAAGCCACGGCUAACUACGUGCCAGCAGCCGCGGUAAUAC
rnacentral:rRNA from 1 species